rnacentral:rRNA from 1 species
AUUGAACGCUGGCGGCAGGCCUAACACAUGCAAGUCGAACGGUAACAGGAAGAAGCUUGCUUCUUUGCUGACGAGUGGCGGACGGGUGAGUAAUGUCUGGGAAACUGCCUGAUGGAGGGGGAUAACUACUGGAAACGGUAGCUAAUACCGCAUAACGUCGCAAGACCAAAGAGGGGGACCUUCGGGCCUCUUGCCAUCGGAUGUGCCCAGAUGGGAUUAGCUAGUAGGUGGGGUAACGGCUCACCUAGGCGACGAUCCCUAGCUGGUAUGAGAGGAUGACCAGCCACACGGGAACUGAGACACGGUCCAGACUCCUACGGGAGGCAGCAGUGGGGAAUAUUGCACAAUGGGCGAAAGCCUGAUGCAGCCAUGCCGCGUGUAUGAAGAAGGCCUUCGGGUUGUAAAGUACUUUCGGCGGGGAGGAAGGGAGUAAAGUUAAUACCUUUACUCAUUGACGUUACCCGCAGAAGAAGCACCGGCUAACUCCGUG